rnacentral:rRNA from 1 species
AAUGAACGUUGGCGGCGUGGAUUAGGCAUGCAAGUCGAGCGCUCAUCAGCAAUGGUGGGAGCGGCGAACGGCGUAGUAAUGUGUAGGAACGUACCCUCUGGCCGGGGAUAGCUACGGGAAACUGUAGGUAAUACCCGAUGAUCUCUGCGGAGCAAAGGUGUGAUUCCGCCGGGGGAGCGGCUUACAUGAUAUUAGCUAGUUGGUGGGGUAAUGGCUCACCAAGGCUUAGAUGUCUAGGGGGUGUGAGAGCAUGGCCCCCACGACCGGAACUGAGAUACUGUCCGGACACCUACGGGUGGCUGCAGUCGAGAAUCUUCCGCAAUGGACGAAAGUCUGACGGAGCGACGCCGCGUGCGGGAUGAAGGCCCUUGGGUUGUAAACCGCUGUCAGAGGGGAUGAAAUCUCCGAGGGUACUCCCUCGGAGUUGACAGAGCCUCAGAGGAAGCACGGGCUAAGUAUGUGCCAGCCGCCGCAGUAA